rnacentral:rRNA from 1 species
UGGGGAAUAUUGGACAAUGGGGGCAACCCUGAUCCAGCAAUGCCGCGUGUGUGAAGAAGGCCUGCGGGUUGUAAAGCACUUUUGGCGGGGAUGAAAAGCACUGGAUUAAUAACCCAGUGUGUUGACCUAACCUGCAGAAGAAGCACCGGCUAACUACGUGCCAGCAGCCGCGGUAAUACGUAGGGUGCAGGCGUUAAUCGGAAUUACUGGGCGUAAAGGGUGCGCAGGCGGUUUGUUAAGACAGGUGUGAAAUCCCCGGGCUUAACCUGGGAAUUGCGCUUGUAACUGGCAGGCUAGAGUGUGGCAGAGGGGGGUGGAAUUCCACGUGUAGCAGUGAAAUGCGUAGAGAUCUGGAGGAACACCGAUGGCGAAGGCAGCCCCCUGGGCUAACACUGACGCUCAUGCACGAAAGCGUGGGGAGCAAACAGGAUUAGAUACCCCUGUAGUCCCUGAGCGGGCUGGCAAGGCGCAU